rnacentral:rRNA from 1 species
UACGAAGGGUGCUAGCGUUGUUCGGAAUCACUGGGCGUAAAGCGCGCGUAGGCGGCGAUACAAGUCAGGGGUGAAAUCCCACAGCUCAACUGUGGAAUUGCCUUUGAAACUAGAUUGCUAGAGUGUCGGAGGGGAUAGCGGAAUUGCUAAUGUAGAGGUGAAAUUCGUAGAUAUUAGCAGGAACACCGGUGGCGAAGGUGGCUAUCGGGACGACAACUGACGCUGAGGCGCGAAAGCUUGGGGAUCAAACAGG